rnacentral:piRNA from 1 species
UAAGAAGGUGUCUAAGGAUGUAUGUGGUUU